rnacentral:tRNA from 1 species
UUUGGUGUAGUGGAAAAGACACGGGCCUUCUAAGCCCGUGGUCCGGGUUCGAAUCUCG